UUAACGGAGAGUUUGAUCCUGGCUCAGGACAAACGUUGGCGGCGUGUAUUAGGCAUGCAAGUCGCGCGUGAAGCGAGCUUCGGCUCGUGGAAAGCGGCGAACGGGUGAGUACAACGUGGGUAACCUGCCUCGUAGUGGAGAAUAACCCUUCGAAAGAAGGGCUAAUACUGCAUAACACUCCCGGUGAGAAUCCGGUGAGUAAAAGCUACGGCGCUAUGAGAGGGGCCCGCGCCCGAUUAGCUAGUUGGUGUGGUAACGGCGCACCAAGGCGACGAUCGGUAGCUGGUCUGAGAGGAUGGUCAGCCACACGGGGACUGAGAUACGGCCCCGACUCCUACGGGAGGCAGCAGCUAAGAAUCUUGCGCAAUGGGCGAAAGCCUGACGCUGCGACGCCGCGUGAGUGAUGAAGGCCUUCGGGUUGUAAAGCUCUGUGG
rnacentral:rRNA from 1 species